rnacentral:rRNA from 1 species
GACGAACGCUGGCGGCGUGCUUAACACAUGCAAGUCGAACGGAAAGGCCCUGCUUUUGUGGGGUGCUCGAGUGGCGAACGGGUGAGUAACACGUGAGUAACCUGCACUUGACUUUGGGAUAACUUCAGGAAACUGGGGCUAAUACCGGAUAGGAGCUCCUGCUGAAUGGUGGGGGUUGGAAAGUUUCGGCGGAUGGGGAUGGACUCGCGGGUUAUCAGCUUGUUGGUGGGGUAGUGGCUUACCAAGGCUUUGACGGGUAGCCGGCCUGAGAGGGUGACCGGCCACAUUGGGACUGUGAUACGGCCCAGACUCCUACGGGAGGCAGCAGUGGGGAUUAUUGCACAAUGCGCGGAAGCCUGAUGCAGCAACGCCGCGUGCGGGAUUACGGCCUUCGGGUUUUAAACCGCUUUCGCCUGUGACGAAGCGUGAGUGACGGUAAUGUGUAAAUAAGCACCGGCUAACUACGUG